GGGCGAAAGCCUGACGCAGCGGCGCGCGUGGGGGAAGAAGGCCUUCGGGUUGUAAACCUCUUCAGCAGGGACGAAGCCACUCGGGUGAAUAGCCCAGAGGGUGACGGUACCUGCAGAAGAAGCCCCGGCUAACUACGUGCCAGCAGCCGCGGUAAUACGUAGGGGGCAAGCGUUGUCCGGAUUUAUUGGGCGUAAAGGGCGUGUAGGCGGCCAGACAGGUCCGUUGCGAAAACUAGAGACUUAACCUCUAGACGUCGAUGGAAACCGUUUGGCUAGAGUCCGGAAGAGGAGAAUGGAAUUCCUGGUGUAGCGGUGAAAUGCGCAGAUAUCAGGAAGAACACCCGUGGCUAAGGCGGUUCUCUAGUACGGUACUGACGCUGAGACGCGAAAGCGUGGGGAGCGAACAGGAUUAGAUACCCUGGUAGUCCACGCCGUAAACGAUGGGUGCUAGGUGUGGGGGGUGUCGACUCCCCCCGUGCCGAAGCUAACGCAUUAAGCACCCCGCCUGGGGAGUACGGCCGCAAGGCUA
rnacentral:rRNA from 1 species